rnacentral:rRNA from 1 species
AUUGAACGCUGGCGGCAGGCCUAACACAUGCAAGUCGAACGAGUGGCGGACGGGUGAGUAAUGCUUGGGAAACUGCCUGAUGGAGGGGGAUAACUACGGGAAACGGUAGCUAAUACCGCGUACCAUAAGAUGAGCCCACGUGGGAUUAGGUAGUUGGUGGGGUAAAGGCGCACCAAGGCGACGAUCCCUAGCUGGUCUGAGAGGAUGAUCAGCCACACUGGGACUGAGACCCGGUCCAGACUCCUACGGGAGGAAGCAGUGGGGAAUAUUGCACAAUGGGCGAAAGCCUGAUGCAGCCAUGCCGCGUGGAUGAAGAAGGCCUUCGGGUUGUAAAGUACUUUCAGCGGGGAGGCGUUACCCGCAGAAGAAGCACCGGCUAACUCCGUGCCAGCAGCCGCGGUAAUUC